AUUGAACGCUGGCGGCAGGCCUAACACAUGCAAGUCGAGCGCGAAAGGUUCUUCGGGACUGAGUAGAGCGGCGGACGGGUGAGUAACGCGUAGGAAUCUACCCAGUGGUGGGGGACAACUUGGGGAAACUCAAGCUAAUACCGCAUACGCCCUACGGGGGAAAGCGGGGGACCUUCGGGCCUCGCGCCAUUAGAUGAACCCGCGUCUGAUUAGCUAGUUGGUGAGGUAACGGCUCACCAAGGCGACGAUCAGUAGCUGGUCUGAGAGGAUGAUCAGCCACACUGGGACUGAGACACGGCCCAGACUCCUACGGGAGGCAGCAGUGGGGAAUAUUGGACAAUGGGCGCAAGCCUGAUCCAGCCAUGCCGCGUGAGUGAUGAAGGCCUUAGGGUUGUAAAGCUCUUUCGCUAGGGAAGAUAAUGACGGUACCUAGAUAAGAAGCCCCGGCUAACUUCGUG
rnacentral:rRNA from 1 species